rnacentral:lncRNA from 1 species
GGAAAUGCUAGAUACAGGGAAAUUAGUGUUUUUUCAUUGUUCUAACUGGUCUAUGUUUAUUCACAUGUAUCUGGUGAUCAGGCUCAGAAUUCCAAAUAGUAAAACAAUGGUAUACUAUGGUUUGCUUCUAAGUUUAUUCCUCAAUUUCUAUUUAUUCAAACUAAGUUGUUUGCGAUCCAAAUCUGAAGUUGAUAUUAUCAUCCCAAUAUCUCGAAGAGUUUAAUUAUUCAAAC